rnacentral:lncRNA from 1 species
CCCCGGCAGUUGCCAUUGCCAAUCCAAUCAAAAUAACCCAAACAGCAGCCCACGCCAAUCUUACUUCAGUAGCUCUCUUACCAGCACAUGCAAACAGUAAUUGGAUAUGCACUGUUUAAGCAUAAGCAAAGCAACAACAAUUUUCAAGUGAUCUCACUUAUGUUGGUAUCAUGGUCCCGAAUAUACAACAGGUCCCCGCUACAAGUGCAAUCAUUUACUUCCCAGCUGCAUUCAAGGCAUUGGCAGGCUUUCUUUUCUUUACAUUCAUCAAUGUCUGUAUGGUUAGAAUAAAUUAUACAAAAACAGAGGUUAAUAGGAAAACAAUUUACAUAGUUCAACAAGGACUGCUUGAACUGUUAGCUCCAGUAUUAAACUGAUAGGAACCUGAUCUGUAUUGCACUUUUGUGUAUAUAUUGAAUGGAAAACUGAAAGGAAUUACAAUAAUUGAGAACCCAACACCUAUUUUG